rnacentral:rRNA from 1 species
GACGAACGCUGGCGGCAUGCCUAACACAUGCAAGUCGAACGAGAUCUUCGGGUCUAGUGGCGCACGGGUGCGUAACGCGUGGGAAUCUGCCCUUUGGUUCGGAAUAACAGUUGGAAACGACUGCUAAUACCGGAUGAUGACGAAAGUCCAAAGAUUUAUCGCCAGAGGAUGAGCCCGCGUAGGAUUAGCUAGUUGGUGGGGUAAAGGAGCACCAAGGCGACGAUCCUUAGCUGGUCUGAGAGGAUGAUCAGCCACACUGGGACUGAGACACGGCCCAGACUCCUACGGGAGGCAGCAGUGGGGAAUAUUGGACAAUGGGCGAAAGCCUGAUCCAGCAAUGCCGCGUGAGUGAUGAAGGCCUUAGGGUUGUAAAGCUCUCUUACCCGGGAUGAUAAUGACAGUACCGGGAGAAUAAGCUCCGGCUAACUCCGUGCCAGCCGCCGCCGUAA